UACGUAGGCAGCGAGCGUUGUUCGGAGUUACUGGGCGUAAAGGGUGUGUAGGCGGUUGUUUUAGUUUGGUGUGAAAUCUCCCGGCUCAACUGGGAGGGUGCGCCGAAUACUGAAUGACUAGAGUGCGGGAGAGGAAAGUGGAAUUCCUGGUGUAGCGGUGAAAUGCGUAGAUAUCAGGAGGAACACCGGUGGUGGAGACGGCUUUCUGGACCGUAACUGACGCUGAGACACGAAAGCGUGGGUAGCAAACAGG
rnacentral:rRNA from 1 species